UACGUAGGGUCCGAGCGUUGUCCGGAAUUAUUGGGCGUAAAGGGCUCGUAGGCGGUUUGUCGCGUCGGGAGUGAAAACACCGGGCUUAACUCGGUGCUUGCUUUCGAUACGGGCAGACUAGAGGUAUGCAGGGGAGAAUGGAAUUCCUGGUGUAGCGGUGAAAUGCGCAGAUAUCAGGAGGAACACCGGUGGCGAAGGCGGUUCUCUGGGCAUUACCUGACGCUGAGGAGCGAAAGUGUGGGGAGCGAACAGGAUUAGAUACCCCCGUAGUCC
rnacentral:rRNA from 1 species